rnacentral:rRNA from 1 species
AACGAACGCUGGCGGCGUGCUUAACACAUGCAAGUCGAGCGAGAAAGGGAGCUUCGGCUUCUGAGUAAAGCGGCGCACGGGUGAGUAACACGUGGGUAACCCUGCCUUUCAGUGGGGGAUAACAGUCCGAAAGGGCUGCUAAUACCGCAUUUCGUCCACGGGCUCUCAUGAGCCCUGUGGAGAAAGAGGCGCAAGUCUCGCUGGAAGAUGGGCCCGCGGUCCAUUAGCUAGUUGGUGGGGUAAAGGCCUACCAAGGCUUCGAUGGAUAGCUGGUCUGAGAGGAUGAUCAGCCACACUGGAACUGAGACACGGUCCAGACUCCUACGGGAGGCAGCAGUGGGGAAUAUUGCGCAAAUGGGCGAAAGCCUGACGCAGCAACGCCGCGUGUGUGAUGAAGGCCCUUGG